UACACUCCUACGGGAGGCAGCAGUGGGGAAUAUUGCACAAUGGGCGCAAGCCUGAUGCAGCCAUGCCGCGUGUAUGAAGAAGGCCUUCGGGUUGUAAAGUACUUUCAGCGGGGAGGAAGGCGAUAAGGUUAAUAACCUUGUUGAUUGACGUUACCCGCAGAAGAAGCACCGGCUAACUCCGUGCCAGCAGCCGCGGUAAUACGGAGGGUGCAAGCGUUAAUCGGAAUUACUGGGCGUAAAGCGCACGCAGGCGGUCUGUCAAGUCGGAUGUGAAAUCCCCGGGCUCAACCUGGGAACUGCAUUCGAAACUGGCAGGCUAGAGUCUUGUAGAGGGGGGUAGAAUUCCAGGUGUAGCGGUGAAAUGCGUAGAGAUCUGGAGGAAUACCGGUGGCGAAGGCGGCCCCCUGGACAAAGACUGACGCUCAGGUGCGAAAGCGUGGGGAGCAAACAGGAUUAGAAACCCUUGUAGUCCCA
rnacentral:rRNA from 1 species